rnacentral:rRNA from 1 species
CAAUAGCGUAUAUUUAAGUUGCUGCAGUUAAAAAGCUCGUAGUUGGAUUUCGGGUGGGAAUGGCCGGUCCGCCGUUUCGGUGUGCACUUGCUACGCCCACCUUGCUGCCGGGGACGUGCUCUUGAGUUCACGCUCGGGACACGGAGUCGGCGAGGUUACUUUGAGUAAAUUAGAGUGUUCAAAGCAGGCCUACGCUCUGAAUACAUUAGCAUGGAAUAACACGCUAGGACUCUGGCCUAUCUUGUUGGUCUGUAGGACCGGAGUAAUGAUUAAGAGGGACAGUCGGGGGCAUUCGUAUUUCAUUGUCAGAGGUGAAAUUCUUGGAUUUAUGAAAGACGAACUACUGCGAAAGCAUUUGCCAAGGAUGUUUUCAUUAA